AACGAACGCUGGUGGCAGGCCUAACACAUGCAAGUCGAGCGCCCCGCAAGGGGAGCGGCGGACGGGUGAGUAACGCGUGGGAACGUACCCUUUGCUACGGAAUAGCCUCGGGAAACUGGGAGUAAUACCGUAUGUGCCCUUCGGGGGAAAGAUUUAUCGGCAAAGGAUCGGCCCGCGUUGGAUUAGGUAGUUGGUGGGGUAAUGGCCUACCAAGCCGACGAUCCAUAGCUGGUUUGAGGGGAUGAUCAGCCACACUGGGACUGAGACACGGCCCAGACUCCUACGGGAGGCAGCAGUGGGGAAUCUUAGACAAUGGGCGCAAGCCUGAUCUAGCCAUGCCGCGUGAGCGAUGAAGGCCUUAGGGUUGUAAAGCUCUUUCAGUGGGGAAGAUAAUGACUGUACCCACAGAAGAAGCCCCGGCUAACUCCGUG
rnacentral:rRNA from 1 species